rnacentral:rRNA from 1 species
UAAGGAAUAUUGGUCAAUGGACGCAAGUCUGAACCAGCCAUGCCGCGUGAAGGAUGAAGGUCCUCUGGAUUGUAAACUUCUUUUAUCUGGGACGAAAACGGGAUUUUUAUCUCAAUUGACGGUACCAGAGGAAUAAGCACCGGCUAACUCCGUGCCAGCAGCCGCGGUAAUACGGAGGGUGCGAGCGUUAUCCGGAUUUACUGGGUUUAAAGGGUGCGUAGGUGGGCUUAUAAGUCAGUGGUGAAAUCUCCGAGCUUAACUUGGAAACUGCCGUUGAUACUAUAGGUCUUGAAUUAUCUGGAGGUGAGCGGAAUAUGUCAUGUAGCGGUGAAAUGCUUAGAUAUGACAUAGAACACCAAUUGCGAAGGCAGCUUACUACAUAUAAAUUGACGCUGAGGCACGAAAGCGUGGGGAUCAAACA